AUAUUUCAAAAAUAUAAAACAAAACAAAAAUAAGAAAGAUAAGGAAACGUUACCGUAAAGGUGGUUGUUAAUAUUACAAUUAUUAUAUUCAGGAGUUAAGGUAGGAAUAAGACAGGGUCACUUGCUUCUUCUCGUCUAGGGACCCUUCAAGACAUUUCGUUUAGACAUAACUAGACUAGGUCGCGGAUAGGAGGUAAAUACAUAUGGGAUAAAACAAAGGUAACUAAUCAUUUUUGGAUAAUGCUUACAGGUUGAUUUUACUUUUACAAAUAAAUUCCAUUAAACAGUCAUAUAUUGUUUUCCUAUUUAGAGAAAGUAGGUAACAUAAAUUAUAAGGUGGAAAUAUAUUAUAUUUUAAUAAAUUUUCAAUUAGUUUAUUAGUUUGUUGAGUAUACUUUGAGCACUCAAAAAAUAUAUGAUUUAAGUCUCCCUCUUUUUGACAGUCUAAACAUAGAUUUGAA
rnacentral:lncRNA from 1 species